rnacentral:rRNA from 1 species
AUGAGAAGCUACUCACACACAUGCAUGAUGCAUCCACAUAUUUAUUUUCGAUCUGACAGCUUUGGCUUUCCUUUUUUCAUACAUCUUUCCUUCUACGGUGUGAGUCUUGUUUCAUGGAAAUGUGCACUCUACAAGUGUGAUUCGGAGGAGACUGGAUCGAGCUCAUUGAGAGGGUCAAUAUUGUUCGGGUUGGCUUCAGUAUUUCCCCACCGCCUGCUCAAGACGCUGUGGCACAGCCACGUUGGCCUCGGUGGCAGGUCCAACGACCGGCGGCGCCCGCGAGUGGGACGUGGGCUAUGUGGCAAAUUUGACAAUUGUCUGAACUGGGUGCGAAACUAA